rnacentral:rRNA from 1 species
GGGAAAUACGGCAUGCUUACCAUGCAGUCGAACGGCAGCACGGGUGCUUGCACCUGGUGGCGAGUGGCGAACGGGUGAGUAAUACAUCGGAACAUGUCCUGUAGUGGGGGAUAGCCCGGCGAAAGCCGGAUUAAUACCGCAUACGAUCUACGGAUGAAAGCGGGGGACCUUCGGGCCUCGCGCUAUAGGGUUGGCCGAUGGCUGAUUAGCUAGUUGGUGGGGUAAAGGCCUACCAAGGCGACGAUCAGUAGCUGGUCUGAGAGGACGACCAGCCACACUGGGACUGAGACACGGCCCAGACUCCUACGGGAGGCAGCAGUGGGGAAUUUUGGACAAUGGGCGAAAGCCUGAUCCAGCAAUGCCGCGUGUGUGAAGAAGGCCUUCGGGUUG